rnacentral:rRNA from 1 species
AACGAACGCUGGCGGCAUGCCUAACACAUGCCAGUCGAACGAGACCUUCGGGUCUAGUGGCGCACGGGUGCGUAACGCGUGGGAACCUGCCCUUAGGUUCGGAAUAACUCCCCGAAAGGGGUGCUAAUACCGGAUAAUGUCUUCGGACCAAAGAUUUAUCGCCUUUGGAUGGGCCCGCGUUGGAUUAGCUAGUUGGUAGGGUAAAAGCCUACCAAGGCGACGAUCCAUAGCUGGUUUGAGAGGAUGAUCAGCCACACUGGGACUGAGACACGGCCCAGACUCCUACGGGAGGCAGCAGUGGGGAAUAUUGGACAAUGGGCGAAAGCCUGAUCCAGCAAUGCCGCGUGAGUGAUGAAGGCCUUAGGGUUGUAAAGCUCUUUUACCCGGGAUGAUAAUGACGGUACCGGGAGAAUAAGCUCCGGCUAACUCCGUG